AAAAUUCUUGUCAACGUCUGAAAAUUCAAAAAAAAAGUAAAUUAUUCAAAAAUUAUCCCAAAAAAAGGAAUAAAUAAAAAAAUUUGAAUGUCUGAAAAUGGCACUAACACGUGGUAUGCAAAGCCUAAAUUGACUGUACCAGGUCCGCAUAAUUUUACGAAAAAGCCACAAGAUGCUAGAAAAAAAUCUAUAUCUACAGAAGGUGGGCCGUUAAUACAUAAACCUUAUAUUCUACCGCCUAAGGAUAAAAAUGGUUAUAGCGAACGUGAUUGGUUUAGACACUUCAGCGAGUAGAAAUUAAAACCCCAAGGUUUAGCGUGAGUACAAGACAGGAUAGAAUGGAACAGGACGGGUCUUCGUAAGUAGAGAGUUGAACACGUGAGGAAGAUAAGGGACGUCAAACUUGCUUAGCAAAAGGAGCGGCGCGUCCUCAGGACCUCAGGAAUGCGGCCGGUUACGAUCGAGGAAUUGUAUUUUAAACGGGAAUAAAAACUGCAAUUAAAAUCGG